GUGGAGACAUAGUUCAGUGGUACAGUGCAUGCCUAGCAUGCAUGAGGCCCUGGGUUUGAUCCUCAGCACCACA
rnacentral:tRNA from 1 species